rnacentral:rRNA from 1 species
GAUGAACGCUGGCGGCGUGCCUCAAACAUGCAAGUCGAGCGGGGCUAUGUAAUAUCGCAAGGUAGAACAUAGCCUAGCGGCGAACGGGUGAGUAACACGUGGGUAACCUGCCUGGAAGACAGGGAUAACGAUUCGAAAGGGUCGCUAAUACCUGAUAAUAUCCUUUCAUCGCAUGGUGAUAGGAAGAAAGGGGAAACCCGCUUUCAGAUGGGCCCGCGUCCCAUCAGCUAGUUGGUAAGGUAAAGGCUUACCAAGGCGACGACGGGUAGCCGGUCUGAGAGGAUGUACGGCCACACUGGGACUGAGAUACGGCCCAGACUCCUACGGGAGGCAGCAGUUGGGAAUCUUAGGCAAUGGACGAAAGUCUGACCUAGCGACGCCGCGUGAGGGGAAGAAGGCCUUCGGGUUGUAAACCUCUGUCAGUGGGGGAAGAAGUAAGUGACGGUACCCCAAGAGGAAGCCCCUGCUAACUACGUG